CAGAAGCAUUUUCUCAUAGGUGCCUGGCCAUAUCCCUAGUCUUGGAACCCAAGAAUUCCUGACCUGAGUAUGUGCACACUUACCAUGAGUGACAUGGAGGGAAAAGAGCACCUCUCACCUCCCCUACUUUGCAGACCAGCAUGGCAUUGUCGGAGCUCCAGAGAAACUCAGAGAUUCCACACAGCAACAGGAUGACAUGCUGUGGAGGACAAUGACAUGGUUUCUCUUCCACCAUCCAACUACAGACAAGGACUCCAAAUUAACAACAAGAACUAUGGAAUCUACAGGAGUGGCCCCUUGUGAAAGCCUCCACUUGGUUAAUCCAGAAAACCUGUCUGACCAUGUACAGAGGUCAGAGGAGCCUUGGGAAUUAAAUGUGCUUCCUUUCCUGAACUCUUGAGUGGAUACAUGAGAAGGGCAGUAUCCAUUAACCACCUGUCCCAGGCCUCCACUAACAUGAAGAAGGAGAACUUGAGGUCAUACCCUCGGCCCAUCUUUCACUGGUAUUAGGCAGAGACAAUUUUCAAACAAAUACUGACGCACUAAAUUAGAAUAACAACAUAAUUUCUCUAAACUGGCAUUCAGAAUGUUUGACCCCUGGAGGAGGGAAAUCUGAAGCUAUAUGAGCUCUCAGGUUCUACCAGCUGUUAUUCUAAAGGUAACAGAUGUUUGCACUUCAUCUAUACACUCAGCAAAUUCCAGUCUGAUGCUCAAACACAAGAUGUAAAAACCAACAGGACCUAAACCUAGAAGAGAGGCCAGAGGACAGGAGAGAUUCCUGCAGACCAUCAUCUUCUUCUUCAGGACUUCCCACCAAGUCUCAAAGAUCCACAAAGGGCUAUAGGGAAGUAAUGGAGACAGGACACAUGGAACAGAACAGAAAGUUCUGUAACAGACCCAGUGAAAUGCUGCCAGCUGAUGUUCUCAUAGUCAACCACGGAAAUCAAGGCAGAGAGAGUGGCUUGUCCACAAAUGACUGCAGAAGAAGAUUUAAAAACAAGAAUAAGGAACCCCUUUUAAAAACAAGAAACAUGGGCUGGAGAGAUGGCUCAGCCGUUAAAGGCUAGACUCACA